CCCAUGUGAACCUACCUUUGUUGCCUCGGCAGGUCUGCAACUUACCCUGAGGGUCCCUACCCUGUAGGGACCUUACCCGGUAGUUGCCGGCAUAACCUGCCGGUGGUCUACUAAACUCUGUUUACUAGUUAUUCUGAAUAAUAUAACUAAAUAAGUUAAAACUUUCAACAACGGAUCUCUUGGUUCUGGCAUCGAUGAAGAACGCAGCGAAAUGCGAUAAGUAAUGUGAAUUGCAGAAUUCAGUGAAUCAUCGAAUCUUUGAACGCACAUUGCGCCCAUUAGUAUUCUAGUGGGCAUGCCUGUCCGAGCGUCAUUUCAACCCUUAAGCCCUGUUGCUUAGCGUUGGGAGCCUACAGAUACCCUCUGUAGUUCCUUAAAGUUAGUGGCGGAGUCGGUUUCACACUCUAGACGUAGUAAAUUUUAUCUCGCCUAUAGAUGAGCCGGUCCCUUGCCGUAAAACCCCCUAAUUUCUAAAGGUUGACCUCGGAUCAGGUAGGAAUACCCGCUGAACUUAAGCAUAUCAAUAAGCCGGAGGAAA
rnacentral:rRNA from 1 species